ACAAUAACAGCUAUGAGAGACCAGUAUGAUUUAAAAAAAAGUUUUUGGGCCCAUGAUUUAAUGUUCAAUUUAAAUCACGCUGUGAUUUGUUAGUGGAACAAAAACGGUUACGGCGCGCACUUACUCUCUUAUUACCCGUUUCAAAACUGUCAAAAACGGAUGCAAAACACACCACAUUGAUCAUUCACUGCUACGGCACGCUUCUGAACGUGGUCACGUGCCGCCAGUAACAAUUAUGGAAAGGGUAUUAAAAUACGUAAAAACGUUUUGUUCUCCCAGAAUAAUCGGAUACUCUUGAUAAUAACAAUAAAUCUAUUUUUUUAAGUUGAGCAGCCAAGAAUAUCUGUUCAAUGUAUUUUGAAACCAAAUCACCGUAACUACCUCCAUUUUUAUUUGUAGGAGUUUAUGCAUGUUCCAUAAAAUUCUUUGAAGUUUUAUGGAAUAAAUAGUGUUUAUCUGAACAUAGUGUGGGAACACUAAACAUUCUUGUGGACACAUUGCAUACAAUUCUGCCGUCAGACAAAGGCCGACCGCAUCACCUAAUCCUCCUGAUUAUGAAAAAAGCUUCAAUCUAAAUCUUACAGAAGUAGAGGGUUGAUAAACAAGCUUACGUAUGUAACCGCAGAUUGGAAGCACUAUACACUUUUACGAUGUGCAAAAUCCGCUGUAGGCUGUAGACAGCUAAAAAGAAUCAGCAUCAAGCGAACACACCUGUUAUUUUCUUGCCUAUGAUAUUUCCUUAUUCUACACCAGCGUUGCUUAUUCAGAAACGCUAUACGUUUAACGCACAUGUUGUUGGUGUUUUGUGAUGGAAUAACAGAGAGCGUUUUCAAUCUUUAUUCUAAUUUGUACUGACUUUUCGUUUUGCUUUUCGUAUACAUGUUUUCAUGCAAUCUAAAAUGUGCUUUCACUGCUCAAAAUAGUGCGACGCCUAUUCCCCGCCUGUUAAGUAAUCGUGGUUUUUAUGAGCAUUCGUCGGGUUUUUCAUAACAGGUAGAAGGCAAUCACUUCCUUUUAGAGUCUUGACCAAGCCUAACUGUGAUCACCUUGCUGGUCUGGUACAGUGGUAACAAACAUUCUAUAUUGCUUACUUUCAAUAGAGAUUAUAACAUGCCUCGAACAGAUUUCGCUUAUUUGUUAUUCUGAAAUAUUUUAAGACAUGCCUUUCACUGCUAUGCAAUGGACUUUUCCAUUGUGUUUGGAGCAGUUCAUUUUUACAGUUCGUACUUUUUGCUACUGGGUCAUUUAAGUUUCUUUAGUAGUUCAGCAUUUAUUGAACAUUUUAAACAAAUGUUUUAUUUUAAAAGCCUGACAGUUGGGUCAUUCCUCAAUUAGUGAUUCAAUUGAGUUUUUCGUUAGUUGGUCGAAUGAGACUUUUUUAUGUUCAAUGUGUAGGAAUGUUGAAGAGGCUUAAAUCAGACAAUUUUACAAAUAUUUGUGGUUGAGCUUUGUAAUCUGCUUCGUCUGUACGGUCACGAAAAUGGAUGAUUGGACUGUAACGUAACAGGUAUAUUCAAUCGCAGUUUGCCUUGGGACCAGUAGAGAGGUAGCCUAAGAGUAGUAAGAGUGGCGAGACGAUUCAGUGCGCAGUUCCUACAAUCUUCUUUUUUGUACAACACCCGCAUAAAAUCAGCCAUCGAGCCGAACAGUGUUAUGUUGGGUAUCGGCACGGUAACGGUAACGAUUCGGCAACGAAGAUGGAGAAUGAGGAAGCGAGUAGGAAAGCUAGAGAGAGAGAUAAAGACGGAAUGAUACGGUAGAGAGGAAGAUGAAAGCCUGUUUGUUUAACAUAUUUUCCUCCAACUGUAACGGCUGUUGGUGAUGUAGCUUACAAACACGUCUAUAAUGUUAAAACUAUGGAAAAAAUAUUCCAACAAUCAUGCUCCGGUUAUGCAAAUGACUAUAGACAAAAUGCAACUAUAAUUUACAUGGUUGAGAAUGAAUCGAAUUGAAACUGUUUAUCAAAAAUUUAAAAUCUGUUGAAAACCAAACAAAUGUAACAACCACAAUAAAUUGAAACGUCGAGUAAAUUGUGCCAAAGUAUGUUUUUUAAACAAUUAAGCAACAUCAUUUGGUUUUAGCUUGUCAAGAGGUAACAGGACAAAAAAAUAGGUAACACGAAAAAUGUAAUGCAAAUGAUUACUUUAUUUACAAUGAAAUUUGGUUUUUUGUUGAUUAUUAGUAAUUUUAUCUUAAAUUAGUUUUAUGGCUUAUUUUAGUUUGUUGGAUUUUUACGUUGCUGUAGAAUACUUUCAAACAUUGUUUAAAAAAGACUAACACAUAAUUUUCCCAUGAAGCAAACAAGAGAAUGAGACUUGAUUGUAGAAAUACAGGGAAAUUCGCUGAACUAUAAGAUAUCAUGCAAGGGGACAUUUUGCAAUCGUGAAAUUAUUCAUAUUAAUUUUCUAAAAUGGAAUGGUACUAUUUGAAAAAAAUAUGCUAUGAAAUGUGUGUGACACGCUUCAGUAACAAAAUUACACAUUAUAGGACUUCUAUAGACAGCUCAAUACCAAUUUCACAACCACGGGAAAUAUGUUUCCCUUGUAAAAAAACUUGUCAUAGGUUUUUAAAUUAUUAUUAAAUCGAUAUGUUUAUUGACAAAAUGUGAAAAUUAAACAUUUGUCAAAGGUGGCAAAUGUAGUUCUGAAGGAAUAAAAAAUAAAACAACCUUUUGGUAAUAGUCUCUUACUUUAUAUUCACAAUAGCAUUGCCACAUUUAGUUUUCGAAAUCUUAUGGUCGUGAACGGGUUAGGAAUGGUAGCUCGAAUGAUGUGUCAUUAGUUGAUUUUACUACAUGAAAUAUGUAGUUGCCAAUGUUGAAAUAUACGGAUUUACCAGAUUGAAAAUGAAUUCUACGGUGUUCAGUUGGCUAGAGAAACCCUGUAAACGAUAAUGAGAAUCAUGAAGCACUAUCGAGAUUUUUCCUAUUGUAUGUUCCUUAGAGAAUUUUCGAUUGGAAUCUCAUCGCUGAAUGCGAGCAUGUAUUUGAAAAGCAUAUAUUAUUACUUAGUUUGUCGAAGGAUGUACUGAUUAUGACAGAAAAUAAAAAAAAAGUUCAUAUGGUCGCUCAAAUGCCGUAAGCUCGGCAUAAUACCUGUAAAAGAAUGCUAAUUACAUCCUUAAAGAAAACAACCAUUUCAAUUUCAUCAUAGAACUUGGGAGGACGCCAAAAAUUUAAAUGCCAAAGGGAAAAAACACCCAGUCAUAGAUAACUAUGAACAAAAAGAGGCAAAACGAUCGAAUUUAUCACAAA